rnacentral:rRNA from 2 species
GUUGACCUCGGAUCAGGUAGGGAUACCCGCUGAACUUAAGCAUAUCAAUAAGCGGAGGAAAAGAAAC